rnacentral:rRNA from 1 species
GACGAACGCUGGCGGCGUGCUUAACACAUGCCAGUCGAACGGAAAGGCCCUGCUUUUGUGGGGUGCUCGAGUGGCGAACGGGUGAGUAACACGUGAGUAACCUGCCCUUGACUUUGGGAUAACUUCAGGAAACUGGGGCUAAUACCGGAUAGGAGCUCCUGCUGCAUGGUGGGGGUUGGAAAGUUUCGGCGGUUGGGGAUGGACUCGCGGCUUAUCAGCUUGUUGGUGGGGUAGUGGCUUACCAAGGCUUUGACGGGUAGCCGGCCUGAGAGGGUGACCGGCCACAAUGGGACUGAGAUACGGCCCAGACUCCUACGGGAGGCAGCAGUGGGGAAUAUUGCACAAUGGGCGGAAGCCUGAUGCAGCAACGCCGCGUGCGGGAUGACGGCCUACGGGUUGUAAACCGCUUUCGCCUGUGACGAAGCGUGAGUGACGGUAAUGGGUAAAGAAGCACCGGCUAACUACGUG